AAUGUUAAGCCCACAAAUUUGAGCCAAUCGGAACUCCUCAGCAUCGACACAAGCAAAGCAGACAUCUUUCCAUGUCUUCGCACUAUUUGCCUUGCGUGCUGCAUCAACAGCACCUUGAAAUUGAUUCAACUUCACAAGUGUGCUGGCCAACUUGGCCCAGUUAGAAAUGAAAGCAAAUAUGAUUUUUGCAGCCUCAUAUAAGCCUUCAUCAAACAACUUGUCACCAACAUUAGGUAGAUUAGCAACAUUUGGCAUGGGAAUAAACUCUUCAAUG
rnacentral:misc_RNA from 1 species